GCUGACGCUCCAUCCACUGAGCCAAAUUGGUUAGGGCCAGUUGGUACCCUUUUGUUGGCUGUUCUUCCCAAGUGCCAAAACCUCCGGAACAAAAAUAGAAAAACUACUACCAUUCACAAUUUUAUGGAGAUAACACAACUACCUUUUUUUUAAGAGUUGAUGUUUAUAGGUGGUGUUUACAGGUGGCCCCUCAGUGACUCUGACCCAGGUCAGCAGCUAUCUCUGCCACCCAUUCUUUGCUCAUUGGUAAGGUCUGCUUCUAUAUUCCAGCCCCCAGAGAAUUCUACAUGUCUUGCCUUUUUGAGACAGUGUCAUAUGCUCAACAAGGAGUCAAAAAAGUUGUGAUUUUAAAUAUUGACUCCACUACUUACUACCUGAGAAAACAGGCCCCAUUAUAUCUUACCCUCAGCUACUUCAUCUGUAAAAUGGGUUAUCAUCAGAACACCUACUACAAAAGAAAUGGCUGUGAAAGCCCUUUAUGGCCUGGAAAGUGCCAUACACACAUGGAUUAUCUUUCCUUCAUUGCUGUGACUUUUUUCCCUCUGCCUCUUAGUCUUCUUUCCAUUACCCAUAGGGCUUUUUAUUCUUGAACAUGAAAGUGAAAAUUGGUUUAAGGUGCUGAAUUCACAGCUAUUAUGUGAUACCAACCACCAUAUCUUCCCUAGAAACUUCUUUACAUAACACCUGACUGUCGCAGAGUCAUUAGAAUUGGGAUGGGCCUUGACAUAGGGAUGUUGCCACUGCUAGUCUUACUGUUCUAAACAAGAAGCAGUGCCUGGUGUAAGUUAGAAAGUAAACCAAAAAGCAAUCGAUAAACAAAGAACUACAGAUCUGUCUAACAAAAUUAAUCAAAGCUAUGUUGCUUUGACCUAGUUUUCUGAAUCACAAAUUAUACGGACUGACACCAAAUACCUUAUUUAGAAUGAUUUGCAAGACCACAGGAAAGAGAUUCCUAUGGGAACAUAACGUGUUAUAUUCAUUGAGAGAAAACCACACUUCCUAAAGUGAAAGCAAAUAGAAACACAAAGUAGAACCUAACCUUGGCCUCAUUACUCAUCCUGUUUUCUACCACUGAAAUCAGAAGGCAAAUUUAUUGACAUCAUUAUGUUAAGUGCUGGAGACACAGUAGUAAAUGAAACCCACUCCUUGCCUUUAUGGAGUUCCCAGUCUAGUGGAGGGAUAUAAAUAUCACCUGAUGUUUAAAACUUUUGUUAGACCAUAGUUAGUAUUCUCCUUUUAAAUUUUAAUCAUUCCACCUAAAUUUCCCUGUAAAAAUAGUCUAUUCCCAAAGCUAUACUUUCCCCCAACUAUUUUACACCUGUAUUUUGAUUCCUAUGACCUCUACCUCUCAGGCUUUAGAUAAGUGGGAACCAAUCACUUUUUUUUUUGCCUCGCCUCUGUAAAUGUCAGUUUUAUUAAAAUGAAUCAUUUUUCCUGAAUUUUAAAAUAAUGUGAAUCUGACUCUUCACAUACCAAACCCCUGCCCAGAUGUGAGAAUGUGCCCUGAAGACUUCUAGGGAAGCUAUGAGUAGAUGCCACUUAGAAAGAACAUCAGGCCCACUCUCCAUGCCUUUAGGAAAUAGGUUGGCCUAGCGGUGCCAUUCUGAGAAUAGGCCCUGUUUAAGGGUGACGUAAGUAUGACUUAGGCCAGGGCCAUUUCUUAUGCUUAUAAAUGUAAGACACCCCUACCCAACCCCACCUACCCAGUCUCUAGGGAAGACAUCUGUAUUUCAUAGUUUUCUCCACAUACUUGCUUAAUUUCCCCAAAUCUGUUGUCAGUCUGCAACUGGCUGUGCUAUGAACUCCUUUUAUGAAAUGAACUCACCUGGUCUGGUGCUAUGGCUUUUGAAGGAGGAACAUGUGGUGUUGACAGACGGAGAGUGUUUGAGGGGUGAUGGGAAGAUAAAGCAGUAAGACUCAAUGCCUUUUGGUUUCAGGAAAAACUACCUCCUCUGUAGGACAACAGACAGGAAGCCCUUUUCAACAGCCCUAAACUAUUUCCCAUCAAAGGAUAGUUACCCCCGGUCUAAAGCAAAUAAAAGAGCAGACCCUUCUGGGUUUGCAGCUGUAUCGCCUAAUCUCAUGCCCAGGUCAUCAACUGGAUAAAAUAGUUGAUUGAAAAAAAUAUUUGCCUAAAACCAAUUUACCUUCCAUGGUUAUUUGUUGGCUUGAGGCCCACCAUGAAUCAGAAGGCUGGUGGCAAAUGACAGGAAGGGGCUGACACUUUUGCUACAUUGUCUUUCCGAGUUCUUUUCCCAGAGUUUCAUGGCUAGAUUUAAUGGCAGUUAUCACCAAGGACUUAGGGGACUCUUUAAUUUUUUACCUUGAUUGACUCAGCAUUUUCCUGAUGAAUUAACAUUAGAGUAAAAUCCUUAGUGUCCAGUAAUAUAUGCUGAGGAAGUUUUUGUAUCAUAAAUGAAGCAAGCAGACACUUGCUUUUGAAUAGUGUGCUUCUUUGGG